ACGGCUAACUACGUGCCAGCAGCCGCGGUAAUACGUAGGUCCCGAGCGUUAUCCGGAAUUAUUGGGCGUAAAGGGCACGUAGCGGACAAAUAAGUUUGAUGUCAAAUAUGAUGGCUCAACCAUCAAGAGGCGUUGAAAACUGUUUAUCUAGAAUCUCGGAGAGGUAAGUGGAAUUCCAUGUGUAGCGGUGGAAUGCGUAGAUAUAUGGAGGAACACCAAUGGCGAAGGCAGCUUACUGGACGAAGAUUGACGCUGAGAUGCGAAAGCGUGGGUAGCAAACAGGAUUAGAUACCCUGGUAG
rnacentral:rRNA from 1 species